rnacentral:rRNA from 1 species
UGGGGAAUCUUGGACAAUGGGCGCAAGCCUGAUCCAGCCAUGCCGCGUGAGUGAAGAAGGCCUUCGGGUUGUAAAGCUCUUUUACCAGGGACGAUAAUGACGGUACCUGGAGAAUAAGCCCCGGCAAACUUCGUGCCAGCAGCCGCGGUAAUACGAAGGGGGCUAGCGUUGUUCGGAAUUACUGGGCGUAAAGCGCACGUAGGCGGAUUGUUAAGUCAGAGGUGAAAUCCCGGAGCUCAACUUCGGAACUGCCUUUGAUACUGGCAAUCUAGAGUCCGGAAGAGGUUAGUGGAAUUCCCAGUGUAGAGGUGAAAUUCGUAGAUAUUGGGAAGAACACCAGUGGCGAAGGCGGCUAACUGGUCCGGUACUGACGCUGAGGUGCGAAAGCGUGGGGAGCAAACAG